GAUGAACGCUGGCGGCGUGCCUAACACAUGCAAGUCGAACGGGGUUAAGGGAAAUUUUCGGAUGGAACUUAACUUAGUGGCGGACGGGUGAGUAACGCGUGGAUAACCUGCCUCACACUGGGGGAUAGCAGCUGGAAACGGCUGGUAAUACCGCAUAAGACCCCGGCACCGCAUGGUGCCGAGGUAAAAGAUUUAUCGGUGUGGCAUCACACAGUGUGAAAAACUCCGGUGGAAUGAGAUGGCCCCGCGUCUGAUUAGGCAGUUGGUGAGGUAACGGCUCACCAAACCGACGAUCAGUAGCCGGCCUGAGAGGGUGAACGGCCACAUUGGGACUGAGACACGGCCCAGACUCC
rnacentral:rRNA from 1 species